UCGAUACUACCAAGAAUGUGUAUCCAGCCAAAGCGCCCUGAUGUGUUCGGAGGAAGGGCAGUCUGUAAUUGAUGCCAUAAAACAAUCGGCUACUGAGUAUUACAACGCGUACAACUGGACUUGUGAUGCCACAAAAGAUCUUCCAUCCUGCUCCAAAGAAACGUUUCAAGAAAAGGCGAAGCCAUGCUUCGAGGCAUAUAUCACAAAGGUUGUAAUUCCACACGCUAGAGCGUCGUUAGCCGCAAACUACAGCAGCUUGAAGAUCGCUUGCACAGCCGUGCAUGAGUAUCAAGACUGCGUUUUGAAAAAACUGCUAGGAACUUGCCCGGAGGAAUACAAGAGGAAUGAUAGGCUUCUGGAAACUUUCACUGAUGGCGUCUACGGCAUGUACAACUGGACUUGCGCUUUC